AUGGCGGCCGAAGCGCCCCCGCCGCAGCCGCCCUCCUCGUCCUCCUCCUCCUCCGCCGCGGCGCCCGCGCGGCAGGCGCCGGCGGCCGGGGCGGCGUCCCCGGAGACGUAUCUCGGGAGCCUCAUCAGCCUCACCUCCAAGAGCGAGAUCAGGUACGAGGGCGUCCUCUACAACAUCAACACCGAGGAGUCCAGCAUCGGCCUGCGCAACGUGCGGUCGUUUGGAACCGAAGGGCGGAAGAAGGAUGGGAUACAGAUCCCCGCUAGCGACAAGGUCUAUGAGUACAUACUCUUCCGCGGAAGCGAUAUCAAGGAUUUGCAAGUUAAGUCGUCACCGCCGCCGCCACAACCACAACCAGCUCCCCUGCACAAUGAUCCUGCCAUAAUCCAGUCACAUUAUCCUCAGCCCGCAUCGACGGCCUCAAGUUUGCAGUCUGCUGCUGGUGCAGCUUUACCACACCUCAGCUCCCAGCCAGCCCAAUAUGGGUUUCAGAGACCAAAUUUUCCAAGCAACAUUCCUCUAUAUCAGCCAGGGAAUAAUCCGUGGGGUUCUUCUGGUCAAGCCCCCGCUGGAAAUGCUUCUGCUCUUUCUGUCCCCCCAAUGUACUGGCAGGGAUACUAUACACCUGCAGGUGGCCUUCCAUCUCAUCUGCAGCAACCUACUAUGCUUCAGCCCACGCCUGGAUUAUCAGCUCCACAGACUUUCCAGUAUCCAGGACUAAAUCCAUCUUUACCAUCUGGGCCCCCCUUGUUGCAACCAUCUGCUACUGCUCAGGGUCCUUCCUCAAGUGCCACACCUGCUACAACGGCACCUUCUGCUAGCUUAUUAGGCCCAGAAACAUCAAAGCCUCUGCUGCCGAACAUGGUACCUUUGUUUACUCCUCCGGUGCCAUCUCAUGGUGCCUCUCUUCCUGUAGCCAGUCAGCCAAUUUCCAUGACUGAAACUAGUGCAACAGCAUCACAGAGCUUAAAUUCUCUUGUUAGUAGUAAGACUCCUGCUGUAAAUCCAGGCUCAACACUGUCGCACCAAACAGCAUCCCAGGCAAUUUCUUCGUCUGUUGCCUCAUCUAGUCUUGCUGGAUUGGAGAUCCCAGCACCUUUGUUAGCAUCAUCUGGCCAGCUAUUGCAGAAUGCUCCAUCCAUGCUUUCAUCAUCUCAGUCCAUGCAAACACCUUUACAGAUGAGCAACAACAUCGCCAAGCCUGCUGACACUAAAACAAAGGUUGCAGAACCACUGCUACCUGAUCCUCCGGCACGUGCUGAAAAUAAUGAGCCUAUACUGCCAUUGCCAAAACAGACACCUCAACGGCACAAUGGAGCUGGUUCACAGGGCCACCACAACUAUAGGGGCCGUGGAAGGGGUAGAGGCAGUGCGUUGUCGCAAGCGUCAACAAAAUUUACUGAAGAGUUUGAUUUUAUGGCCAUGAAUGAGAAGUUUAACAAAGAUGAAGUAUGGGGCCAUCUUGGUAGGAAAUCCCAGUCUAGAGACAAAGAUGGUGAGCAAGGAGAUGAUGUAUUUGAUGAAGACCUCGAGUACGAGGAAACAGACAAUCCAGAGCUAGAUGUCAAGCCUGUCUACGUCAAGGAUGAUUUCUUCGAUUCCCUUUCUGGUGGAACAUUUGGACGAGGUGGGCAGAACGGAAGGCCAAGGUUUUCAGAACUGAGGAAAAUGGACACAGAGACUUUUGGUGAUUUCGCAAGGCAUCGCCAGCCCUACCGUGGCGGUGGACGUGGUGGUUACCGUGGGGGUGGUGGGCGUUCCCGUGGGUCGUACUACGGUGGCAGAGGAGACUAUGGAAACAUGGGAAGGGGCGGCGGCCAGGAGAACUACUACGGUGGUGGGAGAGGAGGCCAUGGAAACAUGGGAAGGGGUGGUGGCGGGCAGGAUAACUACUAUGAUGGCGGCAGUGGCAGAGGAGGCUAUGUGAGGGGUGGCGGGCAGGAAGACUCGUACCCUCAGCGUGGGGGAGGCGGUUCAUAUGGAAGAGGCUGA
rnacentral:rRNA from 1 species